CUCAGCCACAGAACCCGUCCAUGUGAACACGACACCAGAUCACCGAGGAGGUGUAUGUUGGCGCCAUGGACUCACUGUCACUUACGUCUGUCCAGGGCUCGACCGGUGUAGUCGAAGAAGAUAUCGCCGCUUUCGGCCAGAGCUCUUUCCAUCACCCGGAUGCUGCAGUCGAAGAAAUUCUGGAACUCAGACGAGUGUAGUAUUUGCUGCCUCUCCUCCUCCGUCAGCUCCCGCAGCACAGGGAAAGAGCCUGCUGCUCCAACUCAGGGCCUGGCUUCGAUUCCAUCAGCUCUUCAUCCUCCUCGUCCUCCUCUACUGAGAGAGAGACCAGUGGUUUGGAAUGUGUGGUGAGGAAGAUGGGAGGAGCGAGAAGAGAGGAGAAAGCGACCACAUUGAGGGGCGAUCAAACUGUCAAAGUCCAGGACCACGGGCCUGUGGUGCAAGGCGGCGUGAUUCAUGGCCGACGGGUUACCUCACUGAUGGCUUGACAGUCCAGUUCUCCCAUGAAGGAAUUGUUGCUGUUGCUGCCAUUUGCCAUACAUCAGGUUCAUCUGUCACAAUUUGGCACCAAAAAUAUCACAGCUCUUUCUUUUGGAUGGAAACGUACAUUCAUGUGUGCUUAAGUGGUACCAGCGACACUGAGAACUAGGUUCUCAUUGGUGAUAAAUGAUGAAAGUAAAGGGAAGGGGGAACCUGUUAAGACACCUUUACACAUUACGAAGGUGUACUAUCUAGAUCAGCAUCAAAAACUCUCCUCCACACGCUGCCAUACGCUUUGGCACCGGUGCUCCCAUUAACACCCGCCACUGUGAACUCUACUCCCUAGUUCAUUGACCCUCUCUUCACUCAUGCAGGCAGAUUCACUGCUGUGUGUUUAGCUAUAAAGCACUCACUGGCAAGAGACCACCCUGUCUUUGGUCUAUGCUCACCAUGCAUACCCCAACCUGCACUCUCCAUUCCAGCAGUCUUAUUAAGCACAUUGUUCCUAAAGUACACAUAACCUUUGUUCGAUCUUCCUUCAUUUUUCCAUUGUCGGCAUUGCAAAUGAGAAUCUGUUCUCAAUUGCCUUACCUGCAUAUGGGACCAUUAACCUGCCAAUGAAUUUCAUAGAUAAAAAGGUAACACAAUAAACAAAGGAUAGCAA